UACGUAGGGUGCGAGCGUUUGUCCGGAAUUACUGGGCGUAAAGAGCUCGUAGGUGGUUUGUCGCGUUGUUCGUGAAAACUCACAGCUUAACUGUGGGCGUGCGGGCGAUACGGGCAGACUGGAGUACUGCAGGGGAGACUGGAAUUCCUGGUGUAGCGGUGGAAUGCGCAGAUAUCAGGAGGAACACCGGUGGCGAAGGCGGCAUCCUGGACCGACAUUGACGCUGAUGAGCGAAAGCUAGGGGGAGCAAACGGG
rnacentral:rRNA from 1 species